rnacentral:rRNA from 1 species
AGUGAACGCUGGCGGUAGGCCUAACACAUGCAAGUCGAACGGGAGCACAGUAAGAGCUUGCUCUUACGGGUGGCGAGUGGCGGACGGGGGAGGAAUACAUCGGAAUCUACUUUUUCGUGGGGGAUAACGUAGGGAAACUUACGCUAAUACCGCAUACGAACUACGGGUGAAAGCAGGGGAUCUUCGGAACUUGCGCGAUUGAAUGAGGCGAUGUCGGAUUAGCUAGUUGGCGGGGUAAAGGCCCACCAAGGCGACGAUCCGUAGCUGGUCUGAGAGGAUGAUCAGCCACACUGGAACUGAGACACGGUCCAGACUCCUACGGGAGGCAGCAGUGGGGAAUAUUGGACAAUGGGCGCAAGCCUGAUCCAGCCAUACCGCGUGGGUGAAGAAGGCCUUCGGGUUGUAAAGCCCUUUUGUUGGGAAAGAAAAGCAGCAGGUUAAUACCCCGCUGUUCUGACGGUACCCAAAGAAUAAGCACCGGCUAACUUCGUG